GGGAACAUGUGGUUACAUAUGGGCCACAGGCAGAGAGGCGUUCAGGGACCUGUAGGACCCCCCCCCCCCCCCACAGACAGAGAGGCGUUCAGGGACCUGUAGGACCCCCCCACAGACAGAGAGGCGUUCAGGGACCUGUAGGAGUUUGUUGUUUAUUAUUUGGUGUGAUUGUGACAGGAAGCCAAACGUGCACACUCUGUACAUAUGAAUGAUUUUAGCAUGAGUUAGUUUUUAAUGUUAAUACGACAAAUAGAUUUUAUAUCAUCAUGUGUUUUAUGUUGAAAACUCAGAACAACUUCCUGUGGAGGACAGUGUGUGUGUGUGUGUGUGUGUGUGUGUGUGUGUG